rnacentral:lncRNA from 1 species
GACCCUUAGGAGAAAACGUAGCUCCUCAAAUGAUGCUAUAUAACCAAGAGGACAUCACAGACUGGACAGUGAGUCUUCUCCUUUAUAAAGUUCUCAGGAUUGCAUCAUCAUAGCAUAUACCAGCUGAUGAACUCAUCUACAUCUGGCCAUAAGACUUAAUGUUUCAUCUCUUCACAAAAUGUUUAAAUUUUUAGAAAGGUCACAUAAGGAGGAAGACGCCCAAAGUUAAAGCAUUAAAUGUAAUGGUAAAUUAUCAAAUAUCAGUGACAAAGGUAUGUGAAAGGUGCUCUUUCUCUAGGUGCUCAACAUAUAGGAUCCAACUGAGAUGGAGUCAAAGGUACUGAUAACCCAAUUCAUGUCAUCUGCUUUCAGUGAAGUUAUGUUAGCAUACAGUCUUACUGUUACUUGGAGUAACUAGACAUUUUAGGAAAAAAUUGAACAUAUUAUUUUGAAUUUUUUGCCAAAUAUUUUAGGCAACGAGAUAUGCUUUUUCACUGUAUAAAUUAAUGAUAGAUAUCUCUUUAUUUGUAUUAUCUAGAGAGAUGCUAUUUAUUGCCUUUGAUGCCAGAGGGAAAAAGCAUUAUCUUGCCAGCUUAAAAAUGCAUCCUCAGAUUACACUGUCCUACAUGAUGGGUGUGAAGCAUGUAUGUUGACUUAAUUGGAAUUUACAAAUAAUAGAAGAUGACAGCUGUCAAACACUAGUAUUAAAAAAAGAAUAGCAUUAUUUAAGUGGGAAUUGUAAAUUAGCAUUUUUCCACUAGUAACAAAAACAACAAACAGCUUCUCUCUAGAUAACAGCUAUGUAUAACAUAAAAAUUUAUUUAUGUACAAGAAGGAAUCACAAAUUUCUCAAUUUUUAGAUGAAUCUAUGCACAUACAUUCAUAAUGUCUCUUGGGUUUAUAAUGAAACUGAAAAUGUCAUGAAAAUUUUCACCUUUUUUCCCAAAGCAAGUGACAUGAGGCACACAUGUAAAUCAUGAUAACAUAACUGGAGCUAAUUUUAUUAUCCAAAUGUGGUUGCACUAAAUAAGUCUUCUUUAUUUUAAGAUCACCCCCAUAUGGUUUUAGUAAAAACAAACCCUGAUUGUAAUUCCAUUAGUCUUGAGUUUAGAAUGAUGUAAUAAAAUAACAAUCCUCAAAAUUAUCAUCUGACAUAUUUUACUUGAAUUAUAAAACAAUUAAAAUGAUUUGAGUCUUUUAUCCAAAAUACUUAGAUGUUUGAGUUUACUCACAGCCAGACUUAUUGUUAGAGCUAGACUUCCUUGGUCUCAUCUGUGCUGCUAAGGAAUGAAGUUGGACUUCAAAGAGGAAACUCUUGCAGUUCUAGACCACUCCUAAAUCAGAAUGCCCUAUAGUUAUUAUUUUUUUGUUUGUUUUAUUUUCUUAAGGUGAGUGGAAUUAUUUUCUUGGGUGUGUGUAAAAUGAUUGUUUACAGGGUCUUUACAUAAAUAAGAAAAAUACUUUUCCUAUCAUAAGUACCCUGAAAUGUGUUAAAACAGCUCUUUCGAUGAUCUCCAUCAAGAUACUUCCUUUGGCUAUUGAUCUAAUCUAAUAGUAGUGUGUACAAUGAAAGUUUACAAAUGAGGGUACACAGUUUAAGUAUGUGAAAUCCAACAUGGUAAAUAUUACCUCCCCUGUUUCCUGCAAUAGUUGUCAAGAAAGAGUUUCUCGAUGAGAUUUCUAGAUGUUACUUGCUUUUUAAGGUGUUUUAAUACAAUGUAAAAGUAAUUAUAAUACUAUUUAAGAUGAAUCUGAUGUGUAUUAUACUUUAUGUUGGGCAUUUUGUAUAUUUAAAUAUCAUUAAUCGUCAUAAUACUACAGAUAGACUUAAUUACUGUAUUUAAUUCGCAAAUGAGGAAAUUGAUGCUGAAUGAGUGUAAAUAACCUGAUAGAUUUGCAUAGCCAAUACAUGGCAAAAGCCAAAUCUGAACCCAGGUAUCAAUUAUUCCAAAGUUUAUACUCAUUUAAUUAUCUGGUUAGUAUUAAUUGCUAUGUAAUUGGACCUGAGGUAAUACAGCCACUGAAGUUCUCAAUUCUUAAUCAGUUGAAAACACCAUUUUGUGUUUUUCUCAAAGUAAACCUUGUGACAUAAUAUAACCAAACCUAUCAUGAGGUUACUGAAAAACCAACUGUUACUCUACUACACAGUGCCCAUCAAUGUCUCAAGGAUCCAGAUGGUUAUACUUUAAUAUUCUAUCCAAGUAGUCAGUCUGGACAACCAGCCUGUAGUCAUUUAAUCAAGGCCUUUAAAUUGUCUCAUACAAUAAUAUGACUCACCCGGAGCCUUACUGUUUAGUAAGACCACAGUCCUUUAUUUGUGAUUUACUCUUGGGACCGUAACCAACCACUCUCUUAACAAUCUGGUCACUCUUGUGUCUCCAGUUGACAUCGACCAAAAUGCAACUCUCCAGAAAGAUAUUUUACCCUCUCAAUAUUUACAUUUUACCUGGUGGCAAUGGGGACCAGAAAGAAAAAUAAAACAAAGAGAAAGACGUGAAUCUUCAUGAUUGAAGACAGUCAGCCGAAUUAGCAGCUCUGCAGUGUUUGAAUAAGAGAAAGGUGGAGAGCACAUCUUUUUAUACUUCUCUCCAUGCAGUUGUACGAAUUUAGAAACUGGGGUUUAUCAAAAGUUAACACUCCUGUUUAGCAGUGCCUGGGGCAAAAAUGCAGGACAUUACUUUUCUUUUAUCUUGGGAUAUAAAGGGUUAUGAUAUCCAUAGUAUAUAAUUAUCUUUUUAAUAACUGGUUGUCUAGGAAGUGCAUGCCACUGAGAAUCUCCUAUUGAAGGUCUGAAAAGUAGAAGCAUGAGAAUUUAAUCUUUGCUUUUGAUUUAGUUUCUCUCUCUCUCUCUCUCUCUCUCUUUUUUUUUUUUUUUUUUUUUUUUUUGAGACGGAGUCUCGUUCUGUCACCCAGGCUGGAGUUCAGUGGCGCGAUCGCGACUCACUGCAAGCUCUGCCUCCCGGGUUCACGCCAUUCUCCUGCCUCAGCCUCCAGAGUAGGUGGUACUACAGGCACCCGCCACCAGGCCGGCUAAUUUUUUGUAUUUUUAGUAGAAACGGGGUUUCACCGUGUUAGCCAGGACAGUUUUUCUCUUUUUUAAAUAGCUAUACAUAAUGAAUAAACUAGUGAAUUUAAAAAGCAAUAUACUCACACCCGUAAUUCCAGCACUUUGGGAGGCCGAGGCUGGCGGAUAACUAGGUCAGGAGAUUAAGACCGUCCCGGCUAACACGGUGAAACCCCGUCUCUACUAAAAAAUAGAAAAAAAUUAUCCGGGCGUGGUGGCGGGCCCCUGUAGUCCCAGCUACUCCCAGAGGCUGAGGCAGGAGAAUGGCGUGAACCCUGGAGGCGGAGCUUGCAGUGAGCUAAGAUCGCGCCACUGCUCUCCAGCCUGGGCGUCAGGGUGAGACUCUGUCUCAAAAAAAAAAAAAAAAAAAAGCAGCAAUAUAAAUUAUUGUCUCCUAAUUUGUGACUUUAGUUACAGAUCCCCCUGAUCUGUUGUUAUUGCAAAAACCUCCCUCAUCAUUACUGAAAUAAAUAAUUCUUUGUUGUCUCUUGCAUGCAAUGUAGAUAUUAGGGACACUGAGGUAUAAGAGAAUUUCACAAUAAGCACACAAACACACAUUCACACACAUAUACAGGCAGAUAAAAAUUCUGUGUUUGCAAAAUGCCGAAUGAUGACACUCGCAAUAAGUAGUAAGUCAUUUUAAUAAAAAAAUGGAUUAUUUGGAUGUUCUUUAAGGAGAUUAUUUUAGCUAUAGUUAUGAAAAAGAGUAUGUUUAGCAAGAGAUCCAAGUCAUAUUUUGUUACUUCCAGGUCUUAAAAAAGAAUACCCAAGCAAAGCAAAGCAAAGCAAAAUAUGACUGGAAGUACUUAGGGGUAGUGAUUACCAUGGCCCACUAAAGAGAAGUUAAAAUAAAAUGCCCAAUUCACAGACAUUAAAUGUUUCUGCUUUUAGAUGGUAAGAAAAAUGUUUUUUUAAUUAAAGAUUAAAAAAUGUAAUAAAGCUCAUUAUGUUUAAUUGACAAACCAAGCAACUUGGAACAUUGCAAAUUAUUCAAUGGCUGUUUAUGUAAGGAACUGUUGAAUUCCUAGGACCAGUCUCAGGAACAGGUUUGCAAAAGUGGAAUUCAGUCCUCAGAACUAUUUAUAUACCUAAAUGUGAAAACUAUCACAUGCAGAAAAAUAUAUUUACACACAUAUAUAUAUGCAUGUUUAUAUAAAAUAUAUUGAAAAAUAUAUAGAGAAACAUUUUAUGAUCUUCUCACAGGAAAGGUGUUUUUAAGCAAGAAAAAUGCUUUAGAAACCAUAUAAUAGAUGAUACAAUUUAACUAUGUACAAAUGUAUAAUUUUUUAUGAUCCCCAAACAAGCAGAGUUUGAAUAAAACAUUUGCAACAUAUAAAAGCCAAGAGUAGACAUAAAAAUAUACACAAAGAUUGUGUAAAAUUGUUUACAGAUAUGAAUAAUCCUAAAGAAAGUUAAACGAUGGUUAUAAAAAUUAAAUCACAGGAGAGAAAGUACAAAAAUACAACAAACUUAUCAAAAAUAUUUAACACUUUGGGAAUGAGGAUAAUAUAAAUAAAUUUCCCUAUGAAUUUUUUUUAUAAUUACAUGUUGCCUUUUUUCAAUUAUAGAGCAAUGAUGAGUUGUAGGCCCAUUGUGGGAAACAGGCAGCACAGCCUAGCUGUGAAUAAACAUUAAAAAUCCACAUAUACUUUGAUGCAGCAGUUUCACAUAUUCUCAUUUUUUCUGCAGAUAGUGUGCAUACAACUGUACACAAAGAUGUAUAUACACUGAUUAGGGAUCCUGGAUCCUGCUCCACACCGUGUUUCCUGAACACCUCUGUAUUUUGGAGUGCUUUUGUAGAAUUUUUUCAAAGUUCUCUUCUGCUGCCUUGUACUUGUCUGGGCUAGGAGGGCUACUGAGUGAAGAAUCCCAGUUUCUGACUGGACCUGAGUAGGUACUGAUGUGGUUUCUUUC